rnacentral:rRNA from 1 species
AGCGGCGGACGGGUGAGUAACACGUGGGUAACCUGCCUGUAAGACUGGGAUAACUCCGGGAAACCGGGGCUAAUACCGGAUGCUUGAUUGAACCGCAUGGUUCAAUUAUAAAAGGUGGCUUUUACCUACCACUUACAGAUGGACCCGCGGCGCAUUACCUAGUUGGUGAGGUAACGGCUCACCAAGGCAACAAUGCGUACCCAACCUGAGAGGGUGAUCGGCCACACUGGGACUGAAACACGGCCCAAACUCCUACGGGAGGCAGCAGUAGGGAAUCUUCCGCAAUGGACAAAAGUCUGACGGACCAACGCCGCGUGAGUGAUGAAGGUUUUCGGAUCGUAAAACUCUGUUGUUAGGGAAAAACAAGUACCGUUCAAAUAGGGCGGUACCUUGACGGUACCUAACCAGAAAGCCACGGCUAACUACUUGCCAGCAGCCGCGGUAAUACGUAGGUGGCAAGCGUUGUCCGGAAUUAUUGGGCGUAAAGCGCGCGCAGGCGGUUUCUUAAGUCUGAUGUGAAAGCCCCCGGGCUCAACCGGGGAGGGUCAUUGGAAACGGGGGAACUUGAGUGCA